ACGGCAACUUGUGUAGUUAUUAUAUGUGGUAUAAAGGGGGAAAGAGCAUGAUUAGAUCAUAUGAUGAUCUCUCUUGCUUUCGUAUGUAUAUCACUCACUAGAAAGGAUGAUGUAUUUAGGUCUGAGAAAGCAACACAAGUUAGUGAAUGACGUUUCAAGUUUUUACUUGGAAGGGUUAGAAGAUGGUUCUUCUAGGUGAUGAUAAUGACACUUGACAAAGUAGAGAGUGACAUGGAUUUCUCUUCUUGCAUCAGCUUCCACUUGACUAAAGUGAAUCACGUUUUAAUGUGUAAGCAUAUCUUGUGGGCCUUUCUCAUCCAAUGAUUUGUUUUUUGCUCCUCUAUGUUGUUUUGCAGACACUGUAGCUUCCCCACUUCUUCUUUUUGGUUUUAAAUUAUUGUGUAGCUAGUAACGAUGUGAAGUAUAACAACAGCCAUUUAAAGUUUCAAUUAU